rnacentral:rRNA from 1 species
AUUGAACGCUGGCGGCAUGCCUUACACAUGCAAGUCGAACGGUAACGCGGGGCAACCUGGCGACGAGUGGCGAACGGGUGAGUAAUGCAUCGGAACGUGCCCAGUAGUGGGGGAUAGCCCGGCGAAAGCCGGAUUAAUACCGCAUACGACCUAUGGGUGAAAGCGGGGGACCGUAAGGCCUCGCGCCAUUGGAGCGGCCGAUGUCAGAUUAGGUAGUUGGUGGGGUAAAGGCCUACCAAGCCUACGAUCUGUAGCUGGUCUGAGAUGACGACCCGCCACAGUGGGACUGAGACACGGCCCAGACUCCUACGGGAGGCAGCAGUAGGGAAUUUUGGACAAUGGGCGCAAGCCUGGUCCAGCCAUGCCGCGUGCGGGAAGAAGGCCUUCGGGUUGUAAACCGCUUUUGUCAGGGAAGAAACGCUCUGGGCUAAUACCCCGGGGUAAUGACGGUACCUGAAGAAUAAGCACCGGCUAACUACGUGCCAGCAGCCGCAGUAACAC